rnacentral:rRNA from 1 species
GAUGAACGCUGGCGGCGUGCCUAACACAUGCAAGUCGAACGGAAAGACCCUGCUUGCAGGGUACUCGAGUUGCGAACGGGUGAGUAACACGGGGGUGAUCUGCCCUCCACUUCGGCAUAGGCCAUGGCAACUGGGUCUAAUACCGGAUAGGAGCUAUUUUUAGUGUGAUGGUUCGAAAGUUUUUUCGGUGUAGGAUGAGCUCGCGGCCUAUCAGCUGGUUGGUGGGGUAAUGGCCUACCAAGGCGGCGACGGGUAGCCGGCCUGGGAGUGUGGACGGCCACCAUGGGACUGCGAUAGGGACCAGUCUGCUACGGGAGGCAACAGUGGGAAAUAUUACACAAUGGGCGCGAGCCUGAUGCAGAGACGCCGGGUGGGGGAUGACGGCCUUCGGGUUGUGAACUCCUUUAGCUAGGGACGAAGCUUUUGUGACGGUACCUAGAGAAGAAGCACCGGCUAACUACGUG